CAGGCGCGAGGAAAUCUCUGUUAGCGGUUCUUUUCAGGCUUUGCUGUAAUCGAAAGUAUAUAAAAACAAAAAGAAAACGUUUUUCUACGGGAAUCUUGGGAGCGCAAUUCCCCACCAUUUCGUUGGUUUUCCACAGUCCGAAGUUCCACGUUCGCCGUGUUGUCCGGUUUGGUUUAUCGCACCCCCCACUUCGACGACCCUACAAAUUCAAACAAUCAUUCAUCGUUCAUUAAUAUUAACGCCUCUCUCUCUCUCUCCAAAGUCUUCACAGAGAUUCUUCAUUGCUGUACGGGCAACCAAUUUUGUUCUGAUCAUCGUGCUCUGUUUUGGAGGUUAGAGCCUAGAGGGUAAUACAGCACGUUAUUGCUUCGUCAUCUCUCUCUCUCUCUCUCUCUCUCUCUCUCUCUCUCUCUGUGUGUGGAUGCGUUUUGGAGUUUCAUGGGAUAUGAAGUCUGACUGUAAAAAAAGAAAAAACAGAGAAGCAAAACUUAACUCGGCUUGGCUUGUGAUGUCGGCAGGAUGAGGGUCUCUGAAAAUGUUUACACAAUUCAGAAUUUGUUUCCAUGUCUCAUUUUCGCUAUUUGAUCAUUACAACUCUAGCCACUGUUCAUGAAAAAAGGGCAAGGACUUUUUCGAUUUGCAGAUGAACAUGGCAAUUGGCAAACAAGCGCAUAUUUGUGAAAUGUGUUGAAUUCUCCCUUUCACUGUUUAUUUAGGGCUCUUUACCCUUUUGAGUUUUCUGUAUGUAGAAUGUGAGCCUUUGUAUCUAUGAUCAUAUGUGUAUAUACUGAUCGCAUUGUUGUGCAA